rnacentral:misc_RNA from 1 species
AACGCACAUUGCGCCCUUUGGUAUUCCUUAGGGCAUGCCUGUUCGAGCGUCAUUUCAACCCUCAAGCACAGCUUGGUGUUGGGCGCCUGUCCCGCCUACGGUGCGGACUCGCCUCGAAACAAUUGGCGGCCCUUCCAGCGGCUCUGAGCGCAGCAGAAUUGCGUCUCUGGCGGCGGGGAGUGGCGACCAGAAGCUUUUUUUUAAGUUUGACCUCGGAUCAGGUAGGGAUACCCGCUGAACUUAA